UUCUUCUCUCCUUUUCUUUCAACCACCACCAACAACUCUGUAACUACCACCACCAGCUCCGCCGCUGCUACCACCACCAGCUCCGCCACUUCAAUUUUAUUUUCAUGAUUUCUGCACAACCCCUACUCCAGCAUCAUAACCAGAAGUUGAUCUUUCUUUUCUUCUUCUUCAUCUUCUUUUCCUCCUGCACAACUACACCACCACAUUCGCCGCCGCCAACUGAUUCAAGAUUGAAUCCACAAUUAUCAACAACUGAUGAGACCCCCUUCUUCAUCUUCUUCUUCGUCUAAAUAUUAAUUUUUAAAAUCAGACUCAACGAGAUCGAGAUUUAAUUUUAGGUUUGGUUUUGAUUUCUGGUAAUACUAUAGUUAAACUUUUCCGAAUUAUCGAAGAGAGAGAAGUAACUACGAUGAUGGUGAUGGUGGUUCUGGCGGCGGCAGGGGAGGAGGAGGUUUUGAUUGUGUAAUUUUAGAGUUCAAUAAGUAAUGCUGAUGAUGAUGGUGGUGCUGGCGGUGGUGGAUGAGGUAUGAUUUGUUGUUGUAUUCUACAUAUCCAAAUUCAAUUUCUAAAUUAUUGUGGUUGCGGUCAUAGUGGUGGUGGAGAUGGGUGUGAUUGUGAUUUUUGGGAGAUGUUGGUAGUGGUGAUACUUCUUACUGGUGGUGGUGGAGGAUAUGGAAUCUCAAUUAGUAUAUUCAUCUCAAUGGUUAUAUUAGUUGAUGAUGAUGGUGGCAACUGAAGUAGAAUUCUCCUAAUAUCGACCAGCACCUGGAGGGGGUUGUUAAUUGGAUUCAAGUUAUCAGGUUGAAUUGAGAGUCUUUGCAACAUCAUAACUUGAAGAUGAAAUUAGGAGCAGCUUAUAUGCAAAAUGCAAGUACUGCUCCUCUAAAUGCAAGUACUGGAGUUGGAACAUCUUAUAUGCAAAGUGGAAAUUUCAUUUAAUUGGCCAGUGACUGUCAUGAACAUACUAAGGUUGCUUGUCUUAGCUCCCUACUGUCUACAUUUUUAAUCUGUAGUGAUUUUGUGAAAUUGUUGUUUUGUUGUAAAAUGUACAGGCUCCUAACCAAGCUUGACAAGGCAGUUCUCUGGCUACCUACUUUUGCUGGAAUUAAGUAAGUGGCAUUUCAGUGGGUGUCGAGGUAUGUAUGACACUAAUAGCUCCAUGUUGUCUACAGUCCCAACUAACUAAUCUGUAUUGAUUUUGUGAAAUUAAAGUUAAGCAUCCAUGGGAUUUAACUAUUUGUGCUAGGUAAUCAUCUGUCCCUUGUUUUAUUUUCAUUUGUAGAUAAAAUAUGGUGAUAAUAUAUUGUCAAAGAAAACUUUUUGAUGGAGGGAUUAGGGAUUUAGAGUGAGAUGUUUGCCGUUUCGUUGAAAUGGAGAUUUUACUGAGUUUGUCUCUUGAGGAUUUAAUAACCAAGCUGCAUAACUUAAUUUUAGUGCACUUAUUAUGUCCCUGUAAGAGUUAUUGCUUAUAAAUGAAGAUUAUAAAAUAGUUUUGGUGUAAACGUGAUCUGCAAAACUCCCAACUCAAAUCUAUCAUCUAUGUCCAGCAUAGGUGUAAACGUAACAUAUUUUAAAGUGGAACUUAGAGGGACAACAAAACAAAGCCACCAAGCCCAGGUGUCGAACCUUCCCUUGGGGCUAUUGCUUGGUUUGGCGUGGGGGUUUGUGAGAAUGAGCUUUUCUUUUCUUUAUUUUUUGUUGGUAUUGGUGGUGUUGCCAUUGGUAUUGGUGGUGAAAGGAGAAAAUGGUUUGCUCUUGGUAUGUUUAACGAACUGUUGAAAUUAGUUCGAAUACAAUAGUAUAUAUAGUUGAUACAGAUAAUUGUGUAUUUGCUAUUUUGAAUUUUGUGAAUGGUGAACUCGUGUUAUUGGGUUGGUUUUCAAAUUGUUUUCGGUGUUUAUUGCAGGUAUAUAAGAGAUGAUCAUUUUUCUUUUCCGUUUCGCAUUUGUUGUUGGUCUUCCAAUUGUUGAUCCUUGCAAACUAUAUGGUAUCUCUCAAGAUGAAUCUGUGGUGUAAUGGUAUCACAACCGAUUCUAAUCAGAAGAUGCGUGUUCAAUUCACGUCAGGUUCCAUCAUUCGUGUAUGUCAAUUGUUUUAGUACGUCAGUUUAGGGAUCAACUUUGGUUGUUGACACCAGUUUUUGGGAUCAACUUUGGUUGCUGACAUCAUAUUUAAUCUAAACGUUUUCUAGAUUUUUAAUUUUGAUAUCAAUUUUGGUUGUUGACACUAGAUUUUGGGGUCAACUUUGGUUGUUGAUAUCAUAUUUUUGGGAUCAACUUCAGUUGUUGAUAUCAUAUUAUUUUCUAUUAUUUUCUGAUUUGUUUUUAUUUUGAUCAACUUUGAUUGUUGAUAUUAGAUUUUGGGAUCAACUUUGGUUAUUGACCCAAUACAUAAUCUGCACAUUUUUCUGGAUUUUUAGUUUUGGGGGUCAACUUUCGUUGUUGACACCAUAUAUUUUUUUUUUAUUUCCUGAUUUUGUUUUGGGAUCAACUUCGAUUGUUGACACCACUAGCGAUAUACUAGUAGCGGCGGCAGUGGUGGACUAGUAGCGGCGGCGAUGGCAGUGGUGGUGCUGCCAGUGGUUGCGGUGGAGUUGGAUGUGGCGGUGGUAAAAUAGUAGGGGUGGUUGUGGUGGACUGGUGGUGGCUU